rnacentral:rRNA from 2 species
UGGGGAAUAUUGCGCAAUGGGGGAAACCCUGACGCAGCGACGCCGUGUGAGGGAAGAAGGCCUUCGGGUCGUAAACCUCUGUCAGAAGGGAAGAACCGCCUAGGGGCUAAUAUCUCCUGGGCCUGACGGUACCUUCAGAGGAAGCGCCGGCUAACUCCGUGCCAGCAGCCGCGGUAAUACGGAGGGCGCGAGCGUUAAUCGGAAUCACUGGGCGUAAAGCGCGCGUAGGCGGCCGAUCAAGUCAGAGGUGAAAGCCCUCGGCUCAACCGAGGAAUUGCCUUUGAUACUGGUCGGCUGGAGUGCGGGAGAGGGUGGCGGAAUUCCCGGUGUAGGGGUGAAAUCCGUAGAGAUCGGGAGGAACACCAGUGGCGAAGGCGGCCACCUGGACCGCAACUGACGCUGAGGCGCGAAAGCAUGGGGAGCAAACA